GUACGUACAAGCAGUGGGAGCACAGGUUUACCUGCGUGACUGCGUACCUUUUGUAUAAUGGGUCAGCGACUUAUAUUCUGUAGCAAGGUUAACCGAAUAGGGGAGCCGGAGGGAAACCGAGUCUUAACCGGGCGUUAAGUUGCAGGGUAUAGACCCGAAACCCGGUGAUCUAGCCAUGGGCAGGUUGAAGGUUGGGUAACACUAACUGGAGGACCGAACCGACUAAUGUUGAAAAA
rnacentral:rRNA from 1 species